UACAGAGGGUGCAAGCGUUGUUCGGAAUUAUUGGGCGUAAAGGGCGCGUAGGCGGUGCGGUAAGUCUGUAGUGAAAUCUCUGGGCUCAACUCAGAGUCUGCUGCAGAAACUGCCGUGCUGGAGUGUGGGAGAGGUGCGUGGAAUUCCUGGUGUAGCGGUGAAAUGCGUAGAUAUCAGGAGGAACACCUGUGGCGAAAGCGGCGCACUGGACCACAACUGACGCUGAGGCGCGAAAGCUAGGGGAGCAAACAGG
rnacentral:rRNA from 1 species